ensembl:lncRNA
GGACUUUACAAUGCGGAAUGAUAUGUCUUUAUUUCAUCAACAGAAAUGGCGUCUAGACAAAAUUCAGGUAACACUAGCAAUUCAAUUGAGUGAUUUUUUUUUUGCACAAUAAUGUAUUUACAACGGGUAAAUGAAGUCUCAAUUCAUUAAUCCAUAGCAAUGCUUUUUUCCCAAAAAGGUAAAAAUUCUUAGUUACAGAGAAUAAGCAUCAACAGCCAUCUCAAUAUCUUUACAAGAAAAACCACAAGAAAAACCACAAUCACUUAGGAAAAAAUAAGGCCAAGCGUAAGAACUUGUACAAUAAAACAAUGCGUUGAAUUAAGUUACAUUAAUCGCAUAGAAUCUGUGUAAAAAGUAUGUAGAAAAACACCUGAUGUAACCUGUUACAGUCGUUGACCAGUUAUGAGAGGUACGGAGGGUUAUACAGGUAGAUAUGUGUGAAAACUGUCCGUAUUGUUUGAGCUGGGGAGGAGGAGAAGAGGGGCUGCAGCCCCUUGCAUACACUGAGAAGACCCUGUUUUGCAUAUGGCCUCUGGAGUUUGUAAGGCAUAUAUUAGAGGUGCACUUGCAUCAGACUGGUUCUGGAACAAAUUCACACAGGCCCUCUUGCCUUGACUGGCUCACUGUGUCUAACGAGUACCUGAAGCUCCCAAAUGCACCUGCAAUCUUCCUGAUAAUUCAUCGCAAGUGCCAGGCUCUUGUGUCAGAGUGUAAAUGGGUAUCCCAGCGUUGCCACAGCCAAAAUACAUUGUUAGGACCUAGGUGGAGGCCAACUCUUUGCCCCCAGAGACAUGUUUGGUAGAAGAUUUAGCACCCAUCUGUAGGAAAACCCAUUUUUGUCCGAGUCCCUUCAUUCUUUCCUGAUGUGUAAGUCUGAUUAUUCCCACGGGAGCAUUUGGCACUGAGUGUGAGUCUACCUGAAACGAGUGGUCUUGAUACACUUCCAUGAAUAGCCAUUGUUUCAUCUGAGGUCAAUAAACUGGAAUGAAAAUGAAAGCCAAGAGUUUAUCCAUCACUUGAUAGAGAAAUGUAUACACCAUGCCACAACAUUAAACCAAAACUAUAAAAGUUGGCCUCUGCAACCAAGUGGAUAUUCUUCACAAAAUGGCAGCAUCAUUUCAUAUUACAAUUAAAAUGCACUAAUAAUUCACUUGUUAUAAAUAUGAUCUCCCAGGGUGGAGUGUAGGAAAAUACUAUACAGUUACUUUGCAAGUAAUGUUUUUGCACCAUCAGUUGAAUAAUUUACCUUUGAUCUGCUAUGACAAGUCUCUUCAAUGUACAAAUACUAUUUGCACACACAUAUUUAUGCACAAAUAUAUUCUAUGCUACAGCAUCAGUCUUUGACACUCGGGUCAUGAGAUGGCUCGGGCAGUAUUAUACAUUUUGAACACAAAAUAUCUCCAUGCACAGACUUCCUUUAUGAAUACCAGCCCCACAAGACACUGUGUGGACUGACUUGCCAGAAAUGGAAUCUGCAACAAAAUCCUCAAGUAAAACAAAUUCAUGAUACAACAAAGAGCUUUAUUCUAAAAUAAUCCUUUCCCUUAGUCCUGGUGAGUGUGUGUGUGUGUGUGUGUGUGUGUGUGUGUGUGUGUGUGUGUGUAUUUAUGUGUGUGUGUGAGUGUGUGUGUUGGGGGUGUUGAGGAAAGGGAGAGAGAGAGAGAGAGAGAGAGAGAGAGAGAGAGAGAGAGAGAGAGAGAGAGAGAGAGAGAGAGAGAUCUGAGGAUAAACCUUUAUUCUUGCUCUCUUCUAGAUCUGAGAUUCCCUCUACACUGUAAGCAACAGUGGAGCAGUUUGAGGUCAUCAAUAAACAGCUCCUAGUUUAGAUGGGCCACAGUGUGUAGGAAUAAGCAAUCAAAUACAGACUUGAAGAAUCUUUAUAGACUGACUCACGUGGGAGGACUAUGUGAUCCCAUGUUUACAGACUGACUCACUUGGGAGGACUAUGUGAUCCCAUAUUUAC